CCUACGGGGGGCUGCAGUGAGGAAUAUUGGUCAAUGGGCGCGAGUCUGAACCAGCCAAGUAGCGUGAAGGAUGACUGCCCUAUGGGUUGUAAACUUCUUUUAUAAGGGAAUAAAGUGAGGGACGUGUCCCUUUUUGUAUGUACCUUAUGAAUAAGGAUCGGCUAACUCCGUGCCAGCAGCCGCGGUAAUACGGAGGAUCCAAGCGUUAUCCGGAUUUAUUGGGUUUAAAGGGAGCGUAGGUUGACAUAUAAGUCAGCUGUGAAAGUUUACGGCUCAACCGUGAAAUUGCAGUUGAUACUGUAUGUCUUGAGUGUACAAGAGGUGGGCGGAAUUCGUGGUGUAGCGGUGAAAUGCUUAGAUAUCACGAAGAACUCCAAUUGCGAAGGCAGCUCACUGGGGUACAACUGACACUGAGGCUCGAAGGUGUGGGUAUCAAACAGGAUUAGAUACCCCAGUAGUC
rnacentral:rRNA from 1 species